GAUGAACGCUGGCGGCGUGCCUAAUACAUGCAAGUCGAGCGAACGGACGAGAAGCUUGCUUCUCUGAUGUUAGCGGCGGACGGGUGAGUAACACGUGGAUAACCUACCUAUAAGACUGGGAUAACUUCGGGAAACCGGAGCUAAUACCGGAUAAUAUUUUGAACCGCAUGGUUCAAAAGUGAAAGACGGUCUUGCUGUCACUUAUAGAUGGAUCCGCGCUGCAUUAGCUAGUUGGUAAGGUAACGGCUUACCAAGGCAACGAUGCAUAGCCGACCUGAGAGGGUGAUCGGACACACUGGAACUGAGACACGGUCCAGACUCCUACGGGAGGCAGCAGUAGGGAAUCUUCCGAAAUGGGCGAAAGCCUGACGGAGCAACGCCGCGUGAGUGAUGAAGGUCUUCGGAUCGUAAAACUCUGUUAUUAGGGAAGAACAUAUGUGUAAGUAACUGUGCACAUCUUGACGGUACCUAAUCAGAAAGCCACGGCUAACUACGUG
rnacentral:rRNA from 1 species